UAUGAACCGUUAUAACCGGCGAUACCCGAAUGGGGAAACCCAGUGUGAUUCGUCACACUAUCAUUAACUGAAUCCAUAGGUUAAUGAGGCGAACCGGGGGAACUGAAACAUCUAAGUACCCCGAGGAUUUCGUCAGCGC
rnacentral:rRNA from 1 species